UACGUAGGGUGCGAGCGUUGUCCGGAAUUACUGGGCGUAAAGAGCGCGCAGGCGGUCGUUCAAGUCGCGUGUGAAAGCCCCCGGCUCAACUGGGGAGGGUCACGCGAUACUGAUCGACUCGAAGGCAGGAGAGGGAAGUGGAAUUCCCGGUGUAGUGGUGAAAUGCGUAGAUAUCGGGAGGAACACCAGUGGCGAAGGCGGCUUCCUGGCCUGUUCUUGACGCUGAGGCGGCGAAAAGCUGAGGGGAGCAAA
rnacentral:rRNA from 1 species